AUAACAUUAACUAAGUUUGCUAUUGGUGCACUUUACCUAAAAACAAAUAUUAAAAAAUAAAACAUACUCACUACACAGCCAUGCUCCCAGAGUUGGUGACAACAUGGUGAUUGGUUUUGUUUCCAUUAAAAUCAUCUACAGCUUUUGUUCCUUUCUUCUAAUGAUGCUAUCUGUUCACUAAUGUUCACUAAUGUUCACCUCUUGUAAAUGAUAAGCUUAUUAAUGAUUAAUAUGAACCAUCAGCAUGCUUUGAAGAAGAAGAAUAUUCUUAAUGAGUUUAAGAACAUUGUUUGCCAAAAUCACACAGUUUAACUACACUUGUAUUUUAUAUGUUGCAGUAAUUGAAUCUUUUGAGGCAUAAAUUUCAGUAAAUCCAACCUAUUUUCCUGCUCUAUAUACAGUUAGCUUCCCAGUCUGAAUUUCUGUGCAAUGUUUUGAUUCAGUCAACUCUUCCAUCCUGUACUUCCUGAACUCUGAUAUUCUACAUCCACUCUGUGAAUGUUUUGCUUGCUUGCUUGUCUUCAGCAUGCUUUGAAGGCAGUAUCUGGUUUCUCUUACUUAAAACCGCCCAACUUGCACCUGAUUGGCACUUUAGCCUUUUGAUUCCCUCCCAGUGAGGCGGUGCUUCACAAAGCAGAUUGUUUGUCAAACUGUUGCUCUGCCUCAUGGUUGUUUCAGAAGAUGAGGAAACAUGAUGACUGAGGUUUAGAAACAAAAAGCCAUCUAGCUUUUUUACUAGAUAGCGAUCCUAAAACUACAUACCUUUAAAAUAUGAACAAAUACUUACAAUUCAUUAAUUAUUUGAUUCAUGGGUGAUACAAGUUCAGUCAUUUGGAAUGCAACUCAAGGACUGUGGUUUCUUAAUUUAAGUGUUUCUGCUACUGGACAAGAAACAGGGUUAAAAGAUGACAGUUGUAUUUACUGAGAGCAAAGCUGUGUCUAGUUAUCAGGAGAGACUGAGACCUGUAAAACUGUUGGGUCCAUAUGACACAAUUAUGAUCUUAAUAUGACAGAGGAGGGAACCGGUUAUCUGCUCCAACAAUGUUUUAGCGUUCAGGAAAUAAUUUUGGAUACAAAGAGCAGAAACAUCCCAACAUCAUUUCAUUUUCACUCUUAUAUCAGUGAUUUAAAGCAUUUUUUAAUUUUUGAUACCAUGUAGUACCAUGUAGUCGACCGCAAAGUUGUGCGUGAAUGUAAAAGUCAAUUAUUUUGUCACCCAGAGAAAAUUGUAAUGUGUUUAUUAUGAGUAGGAUUAACCGAGCUGAAGGAAACCAAAGAAAAAGGAGAAAUAAAUAUUCAAUGAUACAGAAUUGACCCAGCAAAUAUGAACUUAGGAAACUAUUGAAACCUUCAAGAAUUUUAUGUGGUGUGAGACAUUUAAGAAAAUAAUCCUGAUUCCAUACUCAUGAAUUUCUUUAUUUGGUUGUUAUCUCUAAACUACGUUUUUAUGUUGAACACCAGAUCUCACCUUUUUCCCACAGUUUUUCACUUUGUUUCACUACUUAUAGUCAAUGUUAAAAAAAAACAACACAGCAGAGAGUUUGAAGCGAUGGAGGAAAUUUACGUCAAUAUGGAACCUGUUGGACAAUGUGCAUGUCAUCACACAGGUAGCAGCAGCUUCAAAGAGAGGCUCUACCUCGGUGUGGCCGUGUCUUUGGGAAUCCUGAACGUUUUCCUUUUGACCGAACUCAUCAGUGAACACACUCUUGACAUGACAGCAGAUUUUUCUGACAUCAGCGACAUUCUGACUGAGCGGAACAGCAACAGCAAGUUUCCCUCCGUGAACGCUAACUUCACUGAUAACUUCACUGAUAACUUCACUGAUAACUUCACUGAUAACUUCACUGAUAACUUCACUGAUAACUUCACUGAAACGGAUCCUCAAGAGCUCAAGAGACUUUAAGAAAUAUUUUGGUCCUAAGGAACAGCAGAGAUCAGUUGUUGCUGUUAUUCCAGGGGUUGCAGAAGAAGAGAAGAGCAGAUCCAGUACUGAUCAAUGAUUAGAUGUUGCGUUCAGAGUGAUACUAUUAACCAACAAUAAUGUAGCUUAUUAGCAUAGUGUUACAUAAAACCCUAAAAAUAAAAUGUACACUUUCAACUGUUGUGAUUUAUAAAACAACAAUUUUACCGGUU